GCUUGUCUCAAAGAUUAAGCCAUGCAUGUCUAAGCAGAAGCCGAACAACGGUAAAGUCGCGAAUGGCUCAUUACAACAGCCGUCGUUUCUUGGAUCUCUUAUUUUACUUGGAUAACUGUGGUAAUUCUAGAGCUAAUACACGCAUUAAAGCUCCGACCUUACGGAACGAGCGCAUUUAUUAGAACAAAACCAAUCGGGUUUCGGCCCGUCCGUUGGUGACUCUGAAUAACUACGCCGAUCGCACGGUCUCGUACCGGCGACGUAUCUUUCAAGUGUCUGCCUUAUCAACUUUCGAUGGUAGUUUAUGUGUCCACCAUGGUUGUAACGGGUAACGGAGAAUAAGGGUUCGACUCUGGGAAGGGAGCCUGAGAAACGGCUACCACAUCCAAGGAAGGCAGCAGGC
rnacentral:rRNA from 1 species